UUUCAAUCGCAAAGGUGGGAGGUUGGCAUCAUGUCGUUGGACAUCAUUUUUGAAAAUUGUCUGACAUGUGGAUCCUCUGUGGAAAUUUCACUGUUAGAAUCUCACUCUGCGACAUGUGUUAAAAAGAUAGAACGUACUGCUUUAAGUAAUGCUGGGAGACCAAAGAUUGAUGUCAACAUACAAUUACUGGAAUAAUACCUAGACCAGAGAAUCCCCGUUACAAAAAUAGCUGAACUGCUUAACAUCAGCAAAAGGACCUUGUUCAGAGUUCUUAACGAGACAAACCAUACAGCGCUAGACCUAAGUACACAAAGAUCUCUGAUGCACAACUCGAUGCAUGUCUCACAAGUAUGUUGCGAUCCAACCCAAAGUUUGGUCUGCAGAUGUUUAAAGGUUGCACCAUUUCUAAAAAUAUUCUUCUUAAGCAAAAACAACUGGGUGAAAGUUGUAGAAGAGUCAGGCAACAGGAAAAUGCACCCAUGAUCCAACGCAUCAAGCGUAGAGAAUAUAAAGUGAGAGCUCCACUGUCCUUGUGGCACAUUGAUGGCCACCACAAAAUGGACCGUUUGGAUUUAUUAUUCAUGGAGCCAUAGAUGGUUAUACGCGUUUGAUCGCCUAUAUAUCAUUGGAAAAUACAAAUUUUUCUGAAACCGUGGUCAGUUUAUUUCAAACAGCAGUCACCGAGUGGGGAUAUCCAAGCCAGUGUAAAGUCCGACGAGGGCCGUGAAAAUGUAUUAGUGGCAGAUUUCAUGAUAAAUGCCAGAGGGGUUUACCGAAAGAGUUUUCGAACGGGAUUUUCAGUCCACAAUCAACGCGUGGAACGCCUCUGGAGGGAUACCAUCGAGAGAUGUACUUCUACUUUUAUGGAGAUGUUUAAGCAGAUGGAGAGAGAUGAUAUUCUGGAUGUAGGGUCGAAUGUAGACUUUUUCUGCCUCCACGUAGUUGGCUAAGAUUUAAUUCAACGUUCGCUACAAACUUUUCGGGAAGCAUGGAACUGUCAUCCUAUUCGAACCGAAAAGGACAUGUCUCCUAUGGAACGUAUUUUAACUAUAUUAAACCUAUUUAACGUAUAUUAAAGGAUUGCAGAUGUAGAUGGAAGAAAACGAAAAUGGAACUUUCGACGAGAAACCAACGGAACUCAUUCAGAGGCAAGUCGCGUGGACGUUGUCUUGAUCCUUCCAUCAAGACCUUGGCUCGACAAACCAAGUGGCUCUCCAGCAAGCCGGGAUUCGGGACCCACCCUAUCGUCCGUCUUGUUUCUACAAGCAUGACACACACACAUGAUAACGGUAACGUCUUAUUCAAAUCCAUUUUCUUUUUUCCUGUUACGCCACCAUCGUCUAGAAUGUUAGUUUAUGUGCUACAUUUAAGUCGAGCUCCUAUGCCAACACAACUUGAAUUCGAUUAUGCAUCGGCAAUUGAAAUUGGCUUUUGUCUUCGAGUGACGGACGUCCUUAUUGUCAAAUCCUUGGCCCGUGUCGCAAGGGUGGAAGGUUGGAAUCAUGUCGUUGGACAUAAUUUUUGAAAAUUGUCUGACAUGUGGAUCCUCUAUGGAAAUUUCACUGUUAGAAUCUCACUCUGCGACAUGGUAAAAACUGCUUUUAGUUUGUUGGGAUCGUGAAUUAAAAUAAAACGUUCAAAAACGUACGGUUUGUUCCGCGUACCUUUCAAAGCGUACUCUGGCGGAGACAGACAAAUAAUUUUCGGAACCAAACACAAGUGGCGCUAGUGGCCCUGGGAGAGUUUUAAAAUUCAUAUCUAAUAGCUCCAUGACAGAGCUUCUGUGAUUCGCCGCCAGGUGGCAGCAUAGAUUUGACGGGUAGUUUUCAAAAUAGCGGGGCGAUGUAGCGUUCUCGAUAGCGCCAUAGCUUAGCGGGGGUGACGAAUAGCAUCUGAGGUUGAGGUGGGGGGUGACGACUAGCAUCCGAGGUUGAAGUGGGGGUGACGAUGAAUAGCAUCCGAGGUUGAGGUUUUGCUUGUAUGGUGCAGGGGAGACUUUUGGCACGAAAAACUUGCCAUACAGGAGGGGCUGACUACCUAAAACUGUGUUGACCACGUGUGAUUAAGUACCCGCGAUUCCACUGGGUUUGUCAUCGGCUCGUAAUUUUUGGCUCGUCAGUUGAGCAAGCGAUUCAGGAUUUCAGGUAUCAUUGUCACCCAACCUUCUCGGACGCGGACAAUGUAUAGAAUUUAAAAACUUAGUUUCACCACACAAAACCUGCAUAUUAUCCACGGAAAAAAUUUUCAGAGUAGUUUCACGCGAUUACCUCGGGUCAGCAGUUAACGAUAGUCUUCUCUGGCAACUCUUCCUACACUGCACUUCCUGGACCUAAAUGUCAACCUAAAACAGAAAUAGAGUUGGCUAACGUCCGAAGUUGCCAGUUCGAUUAAUUGUGAAAAAAAAAUUGGACAAAAACUAGUAACAGUUUUUGCAUGGCGGCUUACGGAG
rnacentral:lncRNA from 1 species